UAACAAGGAUUCCCCCAGUAACGGCGAGUGAAGCGGGAAGAGCUCAAGCUUAAAAUCUCCAUACUUGUAUGGCGAAUUGUAGUCUAUUGAGGCUGUUGUCAGCAUCGCGAUUGGGGACAAGUCCCUUGGAAAAGGGCAGCAUAGAGGGUGAUACUCCCGUCUCUGCUCCAAUCUGCGGUGUGUACGAUACGCUUUCUUUGAGUCGAGUUGUUUGGGAAUACAGCUCAAAGUAGGUGGUAAAUUCCAUCUAAAGCUAAAUAUUGGUGCGAGACCGAUAGCGAACAAGUACCGUGAGGGAAAGAUGAAAAGAACUUUGAAAAGAGAGUUAAAGAGUACCUGAAACUGUUGAAAGGGAACCGUAUCGUUUCCAGUGUUGUAUCCUAUGCAUAUUUCAUUCGCGGAGUAAUUUGCGGGUGCCCUGUGCAUGGGUGUGACGUCAGGGUCAGUUUGUAUGCUGCGGGAGAUGGUCAGUGAGGAGGUGCGUCACUUCGGUGAAAGUUAUAUCUCGCUGUCUAGUAGCCGUGGUUGAGACUGAGGUGCCUACAACAUGCCUUAAGGUUCCGUGUUGUCUCGUGUUGGUGACUGCUUUGAUAGCUUGCUAUGUCUGUGGUUUAUCAAUGCGAUUGAUGAUGCGGAUAACUUUUGCUGUUCGGGACUCUGGCGAAAUGGAGCGAUACGACCCGUCUUGAA
rnacentral:rRNA from 1 species